GAUGAACGCUGGCGGUGUGCCUAAUACAUGCAAGUCGAGCGCAGGAAAUCGACGGAACCCUUCGGGGGGAAGUCGACGGAAUGAGCGGCGGACGGGUGAGUAACACGUAAAGAACCUGCCCUCAGGUCUGGGAUAACCACGAGAAAUCGGGGCUAAUACCGGAUGGGUCAUCGGACCGCAUGGUCCGAGGAUGAAAGGCGCUUCGGCGUCGCCUGGGGAUGGCUUUGCGGUGCAUUAGCUAGUUGGUGGGGUAAUGGCCCACCAAGGCGACGAGGCAUAGCCGACCUGAGAGGGUGAUCGGCCACACUGGGACUGAGACACGGCCAAGACUCCUACGGGAGGCAGCAGUAGGGAAUCUUCCACAAUGGACGAAAGUCUGAUGGAGCAACGCCGCGUGAACGAUGAAGGCCUUCGGGUCGUAAAGUUCUGUUGUAAGGGAAGAACAAGUGCCGCAGGCAAUGGCGGCACCUUGACGGUACCUUGCGAGAAAGCCACGGCUAACUACGUGCCAGCCGCCGCAGUAACAC
rnacentral:rRNA from 1 species